CCAACAGAACUGUUCUCAGCUGCUACUUAAGUGAGUCACUUCCUCUCCCCAAAGGCACUCGGCCCUCCAUCCACGAUCCUAACUUGCAGCCUUCUGUUACUGACAUUCAGGCUCAACUGAAGCUAGUGAGAAUGUUACUGGUGCAGGUGCUUAUUGUGGCUUCAAUUUGGUCAUAUGGAGCUGCACAAGUACAACUGACACAAGAUCAGUUAUCCAUCACAAGGAAACCAACUAAAACAGUAAGAAUUGACUGUAAAGUUUCUGGCAUCAAUAUUAGUGAUGCUUAUAUACACUGGUAUCGACAGAGACCUGGAGAAGCUCCGGAAUGGAUACUCUACUUUAAGACACAAACUGAUAAAUCAAAUUUUGACAAAGAGAAGUUUAGCGUUGACAAAACAACUCAAAAAUCCACCUGUACCCUAACAGUAGACAAACUAACCUACAAUGACACGGCUACUUAUUACUGUGCCUACUGGGAUCGCACAGUUUUAGAAAGCCAUAGAGAAACUGUACAAAAACCUCACUCUGUAUUCUGA